AUAUACCUAAACUUAAAAAACCAAUAACUUAUAAGUCACCAUCUCUCCACUGCAUCUUGUGUACCCUCGAGUCUACCUCCUCUCUCUUUGUGGUCCUUAAUGUCUACCUCUCUUUCUCAUCAUUUUCUGUGAUCCCUCACAUUACCCCCCUUGGUGCAGCCUGGCAGCUCUUCUUUCUCUCACGUUACGUGGUCCCAUGCAACCACUCUCCCCUCAACUUUUUCCAUUGCUUUGUUGUUUUUCGUUUUCCCCUCCUUACCCCAUUUUAGUCAAACUCUCUCUAUAUACCUAAACUUAAAAAACCAAUAACUUCUAAGUCACCAUCUCUCCACUCCAACCACCUGUAGCAACGUGUUCGUCUCCUCUUCUAGCCACCACCUCCCCUUCUCACCAUCAGAAUUAAGUGGCGACCUGAGCGGCCACCUCCUACUCUCUCUACUCUCGCACACCAAGUAACGAUUGACUGCCACCUCACCCCUCGAUUGUACCCAUCUCGCACCUUCUGAUCUCCACCUCUGCUGUCCUCUCACUUUGCGAUCCAACUGCCAUCGCCUGUGACCAGGCCAUCCAUUCCUUGUCGCUUGCAACCUAACUCCCCAGUCCUCCUCUUCAUCUAUCUGUAACCAGGCCCCAAACCUUGCUCCGCCACUUAACCCUCUGCCAUCAGCACCACUCAUCACCGUGCGCCAUCCCUUCCCCCACCAUCUCCGUCACUUCAGCUACCCUCUCCCUGUUCUGCCAUCUGCUGCACGCGGCUGCUCCCGUCUUCUUCACUACUGCACAACAGCCACCGCCGUGUCUCUCAACCUGCUCACGCAGUCCUACCUCUGUUGUAGCCACCUACCUGUCUCCGCCACCCAACUCCGCCUUUUCCUCUACCCUUGCUCCCCUCUUCUCAACCUCCUCACUGCCCGCAUUCACCUGCUGCUGCUCUCUCUUUGUUGCCCUCUCCCUACCGUUUGCCAUUUCCGCCCCAUCCAUGUCAUUUUUUCUCUGUCUCUGCCUCCUCUCUCACUACCACCUGCCAUCUCUCGCACCUCGCAUGCUCUCACUUUCUUAUUUCCCUCACGACAUUUUCUCUCCCUAAAAAAC
rnacentral:lncRNA from 1 species